rnacentral:rRNA from 1 species
AUGCCUCCUGGCCCCCUCCUCCUCCUCCCCCCCGCGUCGGCGAUGGCGCCGACUCGGAAGAAGCGCGCCUCGUCCGCGGCCGCGGCCGCCGCCGCCGCGGCCCAGUGGAAGGUCGGCGACCUCGUGCUCGCCAAGCUCAAGGGCUACCCGGCGUGGCCGGCCAUGAUUAGCGAGCCGCAGAAAUGGGGGCUUCCUUCAACUAAAAAGAAGUUGCUGGUCUACUUUUAUGGAACUAAAGAGAUUGCUUUCUGCAAUUAUGCUGAUCUUGAGGCGUUCACUGAAGAGAAAAAGAAAUCUCUACUUGUUAAACGACAUGGGAAAGGAGCAGAUUUUGUCAAAGCAGUUAAGGAAAUAGUUGAAAUUUUUGAUUCUAUGAAGAACGAGGACAAUAAUAAGAGUGGUUUGGCCCCUGCCAACAAUAGCAGCAGUUUGGACACUGGAGGUCCUGAAGAAGGUUCUGAUUUGGCCAAUGACAACAAGCUCGAGGGUAAUCCUGCCUCUUCCAUGGAUCACAGCAUGGCCAGUACCCCUGGGUCUAAUAUUGCUGCAUUGGAGAGUGAACACUGUGUUGUGAACUCUGCACCUGAUGAGCCUGCUAGUUCAUUUUCAAAGAAGAGGAGAAGUAAUGCUCUGCAACUAAGUUCUUGCACUCACCGUGAUCUUACUUCCCCACGGAGGCCAAGAAGUUCAUUAGGUGCUGAUCACAGGACUCGGGAUUCUUGUGGGCCAAAUGGUCUCAAUCUGCCUCCUGUUGGUAUGACCACUGAUGAUAGGCAGGAAGGUUCUUCUCGGCGUAAAUGUAUAGGUGAUGACAAACCUAAAUCGGAUCUCCUUUCAGCUAUGAAGGAUGUUAUGCUGUUCAAUUGCGGUCGAGGCACCUCAAGUCAAUCUGGAGCUUCUCUGAAUGGUAAUUAUGAGAACAAUUCGAGUUCUGCUGCAAAUAUAGAAAGUAAUCUUAAUGUUGAAGUAUGUCAAACUGUCAUGGGUAAAGAAGAUAAUCUGGAUGGGACACAAGAUCUUUCCACGAGUACAACAGUUACUUUUAAAAGAAAGCGAAGCCCGGACACCAAUGAUGUUAAUAAUUCUAUCAGCAGCGUGGUACCAAAUAUGGAUGAAGAAUUGCAGCCUAAUUCAAGUGGAAACCUGCCAGAUUCUCCAAAUUCAGGGAAUGAAGUCAAUAAGUCAGAUGGAGAUGACCACUUGCCAUUAGUGAAAAGGGCACGGGUUCGAAUGGGAAGACCCCAGCUGGAGGACUCCAUGGUUGAUGAGCUUGAUAUUUCUGGUAACAAAAUAGAGUUGGCUAUACCUGUAGAUGAAUGUUAUGAACAUGACCCGUCUUCAAUAGCGGGACAGGAUCAUCCAGCUGACCCAUCGCUGGCAUUGGGAAAUGAUCAUUCAGCUGAGGAGGUGCUUCCUGGCAUAGAUCCUUCACCCGAAGUAGACCCAUUGCUGGCACCGGGAAAUGAUCAUUUAGCUGAGGAGGUGCUUCCUGGUAUAGAUCCUUCACCCAAAGUAGACCCAUUGCUGGCAUCGGGAAAUGAUCAUUUAGCUGAGGAGGUGCUUCCUGGCAUAGAUCCUUCACCCAAAGUAGACCCAUUGCUGGCAUCGGGAAAUGAUCAUUUAGCUGAGGAGGUGCUUCCUGGCAUAGAUCCUUCACCCAAUGUAGACCUGUCUGCAUCAGGAGAAGUUCAGACUGCUUGCAAGGACAAAGAGUAUCAAUCAAAGGUUUUGACGUUAGAUGGAGAAGCUGCUUUACCUCCAUCUAAACGUCUCCAUCGUGCCUUAGAGGCUAUGUCUGCUAAUGCUGCUGAAACUACUAGUAAUCCUCCUGAAGUGAAUAAGCCAAAGGAUUGUAUCCUGAAGCCUUGCACAACGUCGAUAGGAAGCUCUCCUUUUAAUAAAUCUGCAGAUGCACUUGUCAGAAGUCCAAGGUCUGCAACAACUAAAGGCCCGGAAAUAUGUUCAACUGUACUUUCUAUAGAUACCCCAACUGGCCUAAAGUGUAUGUCACAACCAAUAUUAAACAAGGACUCCCCGUCUUCUGUUUCAUUGGAAUUGACAAACGGUGGCAAUCAUGAUCUUCCAAAAGACAAAGUUCACACCAGGGAUGAUGAUGAUAUCUGUGGAAAUUCUCCAGCCUGUUCCUUGGAGUCGAAAGAGCCUGCCUUUGUAUCUAAGUUUGAUCAGUUGCCUAUGGGGAAAGUAAGUACAAAUGAGCUCCCGGAUCCAAUUGGUAACUCUGGUCAAGAUUUUAGUAAAAAUAUUGAUGGAUCUGCUUAUCCACUUAGCCAUGCAAAGACUGUUGUGUCAGGUGCUAAUCAUGAUUCCAAUUCCGAGCCACAAAAUAAGACAGUUUUGGCUGAACCAACAGUCAGUGUGGGUGACAGGACAAGUGCCUCUUUGUUGGUUACUAAAGUUACAUGCAGCCAGAAUGUUGCAGGCGCACGAACAUUUGAAGCGCAUGGUUCUUCAGCAACCACACUGAGAGAACCUGACCACAAAAUUAGCAUGAAGGAUAUUGGUUUAUCUCCUGACCCAAUGCCUAUGAAAGGACUUAUUGCUGCUGCACAUGCUCAGAAAUUCUCUCAACCAACUUCUUUCAUAGACAGUUUUUUAGAUUCCAAUGUUAUUUCUGAACCUUCGGUGAAUAUACCUUCAGUUAAGGAAGGAUCAGGUGGCCGGUGUUCACCUUCAAAUACUAUAAUAAGGUCUGCAUCAGAUAGGAUUCAUACUCAACAGACUAGUGGUAAGAUUCUUUCUGAUAACAUACAACAAAAGAGCUUGAACAAACCAGCAGGUCAUGACGAAGCCAGGUCAGCACGGAGGGCCUUUGAAAAUUUCCUAGGUACAUUAACAAGAACAAAAGAAUGUAUAGCCCGUGCAACACGUCUCGCUCUGGAUUGUGCCAAGCAUGGCAUUGCUGGGGAGGUAAUGGAUGUCAUCAUCGAACGCCUGGAAAAAGAAUCAAAUUUAUACAAAAGGGUGGACCUGUUCUUCCUUGUUGAUUCAAUAAUCCAGUGCUGUCGCAAUCAGAAAGGUGGAGUUGGAGAUGCCUAUCCUUCUCUUAUCCAAGCAGUCCUGCCACGAAUACUAUAUGCUUCUGCACCUCCUGGAAAUUCUGCAUGGGAGAAUCGAAGACAAUGUCUUAAGGUUUUGAAACUCUGGCUUGAGAGGAAAACUCUUUCAGAAUACAUCAUUCGUCAUCAUAUUAAGGAGCUUGAAGCUCUUAAUGAAGCAUCAUUUGGGACCUCUCGUCGUCAUUCAGGGACAGAGAGAGCUCUGAAUGACCCUUUACGGGAUAACGAAGGAAUGCUUGUAGAUGAAUAUGGAAGCAAUACUGGUUUCCAUCUUCCAAAUUUGAUCUGCGUGAAACUGCUUGAUGAGGAAGGAAGCUCCUCUGAGGAUAGGAGCUUUGAAGCUGUCACUCCUGAACAUGAAUCCACUGGUGCUGAGCAAGGGGAGGGUUCUCAAUUGGAUGGGGCGAAGCAUCGACUUGUCUUUGAAGAAGUGAAUGGUGAUCUUGAGAUGGAAGAUGUAGCCCCAUCAUCUGAAGCGGAAGCCACCUCUGCAUGCCAACAAGAUAUAACAGUUGCGAGGUGUACACCGACUAGUCAAAAUGUUGAUUCUGUUCCUCCGCUACCUGAAGACAAACCUCCAACUCCUCCCCCGUUGCCAUCAUCUCCACCACCUCUACCACGCCCUCAGUGUCCUGUCAUUCAAGGUUCACAGGUUCAAGGAGCAUUGCAUGUGGCACCUGAUCGAGUCGAGCCAGAUACUUUAAGAAAUGUUCAAGAUCAGCACCCUCAUUCUAUUGCAAAUAAUCGAGGCAACAUGGAUCCUUGUGCGGUUCCAUUCCAGCCUCCACCGCCCUAUACUUCUGGCUGUGCAGGGCAUCCAAACCAGAUGCAUCCGCCGCCACCGCUGCCUCCACCGCCGCCUCCACCACCUGUCGCACCUUUCCAUCCUCCUGGACCGCAUGGAAAUUUUUCUGGGCCCCCAGUACCGCCCCAUGGAAAUAACUAUCACCGUCCACCAGCACCACCACCUCCGAAUAAUGCAUACCAUUUGCAGCCACCACCACCGCAUCCACCACCACCACAUCCACCAGGUCCGAAUCAGUUCCCAUAUAUGCCACCUGAACACCAACAAAGAGCACAACCUUGGAAUUGUAAUCCUCCCUAUCCUGAGGGAUAUCAGUACAAUGGACAUGACAGAGGACACCCUCCAUACGAUAGGAGACAUCACUUUGAUGAUAGAUGGCAUCACUUCGACGAUAGAGGGCGACGCUUUGAUGACGGAGGGCAUCAUUUCAAUGCCGGAGGACAUCAUUUUGAUGAUGGAGCAUAUCACUAUGAUGAUAGAGGGCAUCACUUCAAUGACAGAGGACAAAUGCACCAUGAACCUAUGGAUAGAGGAAGGUUUCCUCCACAUUUUGGACCAGAUCCCCCGUACCCUGACCAUUUUGAAGCUUCAUCCUCCCACCGUGGGCGACCAUCGGACGGUCCACCUGGUCCAUGUACCGACUGGUCGAUGCCGCCUAGGAGAUCCAAGUAUCCUCCUGGCUCCAGACAUUCAAUGGAGCCUCCAAUGUCCCAUGAAGGAGGUUGGAGGAGGCACGGAAGACACAAUAAUGAUAGAUUCCAUAGAUGA